CGCAGUGUUUCAGGAAAAGCAGAAGAGGAGCGGCGCCAGAGCCUGGCCCGUCACUAUUUGCCUUCUUAUAUGCCGGUGGCUUCUGACGAACAGACGGACUCGGGGGGCUUCGCGCAACACGCUCUACAGAUUACACUCCAUACAAACUGAAACCUGUCACAUGACUGGGAGCAUUGGGAAAGCGGGUGACGCAACUCCUGUAAAAUGGCAAGAUGGCAGCCAUUUGCUCAGUUUGGACUCAACGAACCGGCUCUCUUCCAUUCCAAGAACGCUAACCACAACUACUCCACUGCUGAAUACGAAGAUUUAUUCUCCAAAGAAGCCUAUUGUUUUCUGUGCCAGUUCCCACCUGAAAGCUGGUGGAAUUCCUGCAUUGUUGUUAUAUUUCUUUUAAAAAGCCCAUUCAGCAAACGGUCCUGUUUCUGCCUGUUCUAUAAAAUGUGCGUUUAUUUGGUGACCACAUCUAAGCAAACAACGAGCACCAGUGUUUUAUAUGUAGGCGUGAACAAUUAUUUAGGGCAAAAGGAAAUGCUCCUGCACAUGCGCCUGACUUCCUAACACAAGCAUGACACGUUGUUUCAACAUUUGAUUUAUUUUGCCUUUUUUUUGGUACAAGGACGUCACUAAUGCGUAAAAAUGGCCUUGUAUGUGAUUACAGGGUGGGCCAUUUAUAUGGAUACACCGUAAUAAAAUGGGAGUGGUUGGUGAUAUUAAUGUCCUGUUUGUGGCACAUUAGUAUAUGUGAGGGGGCAAACCUUUCAAGAUGGGUGGUGACCAUUUGAAGUCGGCCAACUUUUUUUUUUCAAUAGGAAGAGGGUCAUGUGAUACAUUAAAUUUAUUGGUAAUUUCACAAGAAAAACAAUGGUGUGGUUUUAACAUAACUUUAUUCUUUCAUGAGUUAUUUUCAAGUUUCUGACCACUUGUGUUCAAUGUGCUGCCCAUUGUGUUGGAUUGUCAAGGUGUAUCCAUAUAAAUGGCCCACCCUGUAUAUUAAACACAUUCACCUCUGAGGCCAUUUAAUCCAUUUCAGGGUCACAGGCGCCAGAGCCUAUCCCAGGACCCUGGGCAUAGGGCAUUAAAAUGUUCUAAAUAUUCAUGCAACACAUAUUCUGAAUAUGCAUCAUUAAUUAACAUACAUGACGUAACUGCUGCUGUCAUGCCUCAGGCCUCAUUGCCCUGCUCCCACUCACCCUGCUUCUGAUCACCUUCACAUUCUCAUCACUGACAUCUGCACCCCAUCAGCCAUCACAAACAAAAGGACCUUGUCGAUGAGGUUUAGGCUAGAUGCAUUGGGAUAGAUCACUCUUGUUCCAAGAAUCUUUAGUUUUAAAACAUGUUUUCAAAUGUGUUUGUUUUGGGGUCUCAUUCCCCUUGUUUGUGAGCUGUUUACACCUGGUUGCUUAAUGUGAAUAAAAAUGCCACCUGCACUUAGGUCCUCCUCUCAGCAUCAGUAGUGGACAGGCCUGGUAGCUUCUAAACGUGCCACUAAAGAUAGUAUGCUAGAAGCACAAUCAGCUGAAUCAGCGCAUGGAGUAGGCUGGUUGAAUAGGUUAAAUCGGCUUUCUGGGAUGACUUGUUUUCCUUUGACCUAAUAAGCAUGUUCAUCGGGUCGGACCACAUACUUUGACACUGUCCCUCUGACAGCGUGCCAGAUUAACCCAUGGAAUUUAAAAGAACACACCUGUCUCAAUGUGAUCAACUAGGGUUGUGCCUAUACCGCAGUGAGGAGCAGCAAUCCCUGCCAGAAUGCCAUUUGUCCUUACAGUUUUCCAUUGGGUUGGCUGCUGCAUCGCCAGCUUGCAUACCUUCAGCCCCGCCUCCUGCCGUCCUAUACCGUCCAAACCGCUGUAGAGAUGAUGCGAUCUCUCAUCUCCUCCACACAGCACUCGGAAGGGAAAUUAUGUUAAUUUGGAGAAUUGGUGCCAGAGGAACAAUCUCCACCUGAACGUCAGCAAGACAAAGGAGUUGAUAGUGGAGUUGAUAGGAGAGGAGAGAGUGGAGAGAGUGGACAGCUACAUCACGCAGGACCUGUCAUGGUCCUGUCACAUCAACACCAUGGUGAAGAAGUCCCGGCAGCGUCUAUACCACCUCAGACGCCUGAGAGACUUUAGGCUGCCCUCCUUAGGAACUCCUACUCCUGCACCAUAAAGAGCAUCCUGACGGGAAACAUCUCAACCUGGUUCAGGAACAGCACCAUGCAGGACAGGCGAGCCCUACAGAAGAUGAUUAGAUCAGCUGAACGCAUCUGUACAAAGCUCCCUGACCUUCAAUCGAUCUACAGCAUAUGGACCAGGGCCAGGAAGAUAGUGAAGGACCUCAGCCACCCCAACAAUGGACUCUUCUCUCUGCUGCGAUCAGGGAAGCGCUUCCACUCCCUGAAGGCCAACACAGAGAGAAUGAGGAGGACCUUCUUCCCGCAGGCUGUACGAGCUCUCAACAACCACAACACUAUAUAGAACUCCAAUACAGUCCAAUCACUUUACAUAUUUGUACAACUUCACCCUACCUGUUAUAAAUUUGUAAUAUUUGGUUAUGUUUGCAAUAUUUGCAUAUUGGGGUCAAUAGCAGUCGCAAAAGCAUUUCACUGCACAUCCUACCGUGUAUGACUGUGUAUGUGACAAUAAAAUUUGAGUUGAAGUGAAUUGCCGUUCCAUUGGGGAUCCCAGGAUCAUUGCCUGAUCAACGUAUUGCAACGUAUGUGUAGUGUUGUUUUAAGUUCUGGCAAAUGCCACACGCCUGCGGGCUAGUUUCUGUUCUCCCCUUUAUUCCCUGUUUUUGGCCCUCGUGCCAUGUUUCUUUAUUGUUUAAUAAAUUAUUGUUUCCAGAAUGUCCCGCCUCUGCACUUUAUUCCCGUCAGCUUUCAGACGUGUCUCCGUAUGUGUGCCAGUCUCUGUCUAGGUCUUGUCUUUCUCUCUCUCUCUCUCCUUCCAAUUUAUGGAGAGGAGAUGUCUGGUGCUCUGGUGCCCAACUCAAGCUCUCCAGCCCCCAACACCCCAGCCGAUGGCCCAGAGAAAGCG
ensembl:lncRNA